CCUGGAGAUCUCUCCUUUUGGAGUUUUUGGUUAACCACAAGUCUUCUGCAAGUGCUGAAAAGCAGUUUGCUGCCCUUGCAUCAUCAGCUGUGCAGACACAGUUAGUACCUGUGCUGGAUGGAUGGUGAGCUGCCUUGUGCUGAGUGGUACCUGGGGGAGAGCCUGAAGACUGAGCUUCUGCUAGGUGCUGUGCAGGCGUUUCACCUCUUUUGCCUUAAUUUGAUGGGUGCAAAGGCUGAUGGAGUCUGGCCCGUAGGCAUAGGUGGGGGAAUUGUUACAAGAAGUUGAGCUGGGCUCUGCUUUAGGAGCUGGGAUGUAUGCUGGAGUUCUUCUCCUGACCUGGAGCUGCAUUGACGUGUGCUGCUGUUCUGACUUUCUCAAUGGAACCUUGUGGGUGGUGAAGUGACUAGAGAAAAUCUGAUCCAAAACUGCUUAAAGAUAAAAAGUCGUCUGGGAACGUUGGUCGGAUGCUGAUAGUAAUUAAAUUCUAGGUUUUUAAUCAGAAAAUUGUAGCAAUGUAAUUUUAACUUUCCAUAAUCUACACUCUACGUGCAGAUUCAUAAGACAGUUCACUCAAGCCCGGCUCAGAUCUCUCUAUUUUGCAAACUAUU